AAUUAGUGGCAGACGGGUGAGUAAUGCAUAGGAAUCUACCUAGUAGUAUAGGAUAGCCACUAGAAAUGGUGGGUAAUACUGUAUAAUCCCUGCGGGGGAAAGAUUUAUCGCUACAUGAUGAGCCUAUGUUAGAUUAGCUAGUUGGUGGGGUAAUGGCCUACCAAGGCAGUGAUCUAUAGCUGGUCUGAGAGGAUGAUCAGCCACACUGGAACUGAGACACGGUCCAGACUCCUACGGGAGGCAGCAGUGGGGAAUAUUGGACAAUGGGCGCAAGCCUGAUCCAGCUAUGCCGCGUGAGUGAGGAAGGCCUUAGGGUUGUAAAACUCUUUCAGUGGGGAAGAUAAUGACGGUACCCACAGAAGAAGUCCCGGCAAACUCCGUGCCAGCAGCCGCGGUAAUACGGAGGGGGCAAGCGUUGUUCGGAAUUAUUGGGCGUAAAGGGCAUGUAGGUGGUUUGGUAAGUUAAAGGUGAAAUGCCAGGGCUUAACCCUGGAGCUGCUUUUAAUACUGCCAGACUGGAGUCCGGGAGA
rnacentral:rRNA from 1 species